UAGCUCAGCUGGGAGAGCAUCUGCCUUACAAGCAGAGGGUCAUAGGUUCGAGCCCUAUAGGCCCCA
rnacentral:tRNA from 3 species